rnacentral:rRNA from 1 species
UACGGGAGGCAGCAGUGGGGAAUAUUGGACAAUGGGCGAAAGCCUGAUCCAGCCAUGCCGCAUGAGUGAAGAAGGCCUUCGGGUUGUAAAGCUCUUUUAGUGAGAAAGAUAAUGACGGUACUCACAGAAGAAGUCCUGGCUAACUCCGUGCCAGCAGCCGCGGUAAUACGGAAAGGGCUAGCGUUAUUCGGAAUUAUUGGGCGUAAAAGAGCGCGUAGGCUGAUUAGUAAGUUAAAAGUGAAAUCCCAAAGCUUAACUUUGGAAUUGCUUUUUAAAAACUGCUAGUCUAGAGAUUUGAAAGAGGAUAGAGGAAUUCCUAGUGUAGAGGUGAAAUUCGUAAAUAUUAGGAGGAACACCAGUGGCGAAGGCGUCUAUCUGGUUCAAAUCUGACGCUGAGGCGCGAAAGGGCGUGGGGAGC